GAACUGUGAAUCCAAAACAGAAGAAAGAAAGUGAGGAGGCCCCUGAGGAAGCCAUGUGGAUGAGUAGCCCUGUAACCUAAGAGUCUACCUCUGGACACAGCAUUGUGCAGUAACCUGUGUUCAUCUCAUUCAUCUCAUCUCAUCACAACAGGAACCAUAGCCGAUCCAGGAACACUCAGAACCUUCUUGUUGGGACCACCCCACCUCUCCAGACGCCCAGCUGUUCUUCACCUGAGGAAGAGGAGGCACCCUCAUCCCCCCCAGUAGUUUGGUCUCCACCAGAAACACCGAGAGGCUUUGCACGGAGACCAAGUUCAGCCUGAUUCCCCUGUGCUUGGCUUGCUGACCCUUUCAUCACAGCUGCUCAGGCCUUUGGAAAAUAAAUCUCAAAAAUUUUUAAUGAAAUUCAUCAAGAUACACUAAGAAAAUCUUGCUGCAAAGGCUGGCCACUUGAAAGAAGAUAGGAUAUUACAAACAUAACAUGGACGUGUCAUGAAGAUAUUUUACAAGGUACCUGAGGCACCACUUCUAAGCAAGUUUAUCAUGUUUAAGAUCGUGUGUAUUAUUUCAAGAAUGACAUAGCUUUUGCUUCCUGUUUCCUAAAAUGUUUCUGGAACCAGCCACGAGGAGACUCCUUGGUUGUGUCUAUAUGAUCGAUCCAAGUAGUGCCUUUGAGGAUGACCUCUUUUUGCCUAUCCCAGAUCUUUCUCAAUGUCCUCAGUUUCCCGUGAAAAUGAAUGAGCCCGUGACCUUAUUUUACUUGCAAGGAAAUCUCACUGAAACAAACAAGGACUGCUUAUCCAAGUUUUAGAACCAGUCUUCAAGGUGACUGUGUCUUAGUAACUUUAAAGUCACUUCAAGUUAAAAAAAGAA